rnacentral:misc_RNA from 1 species
AAAAAACAGAGCUCUGAUGUUGGUCAGCGAUCAACCAUAGGCGUCGGUAAGGACCCCGAGAUGUCUCCUUCUCCUGUCUCUUACCAAAUCAAAACCACACCUUUAAGCAGAACAUUACCCAUCAUUGUGAACCACUGAACAAUGGCUACACAAGAUUCCCUGCAUGCAACAAUCACAGGAAAAAACAGCAGAAAAUGAAUCUAUCGGAGUUAUCCCAGCCACUAUAGCAAGUCCCUCUUCCUUUUUUGUAGACUGCACUCCAACUACUAAAAAAAAAAAAAGAACUAUCUACAAUUC